rnacentral:tmRNA from 1 species
GGGGAUGACUGGUUUCGACGGUUAGGUUGAAGCGUCAGUCGCGUGUCGAGGUUGGUCUCCUGGCCUCGUAAAAAGGAGCCCGAAACAAUAAAUGCUGACGAAAGUUACGCACUCGCUGCCUAAAUAAAGGCGCGACGUCUUUACCCUGACGCCUGUUAAGGGAUAAAGGCGACGACAACAGGCUGGUGCUGAAGCCGGGGAUCCGGGUGGAUGCGCGAGAAAAGUUCAGGAUUCUAGCGACCAAGGUGGCCUUGUUGACCGGCAGCUGCGGCGGCGAAUCUUUGUAGGUCGACUACACACGUAGAAGCUGCCGUGACUCUUAAUCGGACGCGGGUUCAAUUCCCGCCAUCUCCACCA